GCCCGGCUAGCUCAGUGGUCAGAGCUUCGUACUUAUGAGGUUAACGUGAUGCGAGGGUCACCAGUUCGAUCCUGGUGCUGGGCA
rfam:Pleurotus ostreatus PC15 unplaced genomic scaffold scaffold_01, whole genome shotgun sequence.